rnacentral:rRNA from 1 species
GCGAGGCCGAAAGGCGUAGUCGAUGGGAAACAGGUUAAUAUUCCUGUACUUGGUGUUACUGCGAAGGGGGGACGGAGAAGGCUAUGUUAGCCGGGCGACGGUUGUCCCGGUUUAAGCAUGUAGGCUGGUUAUCCAGGCAAAUCCGGAUAACCAAGGCUGAGGUGUGAUGACGAGGCACUACGGUGCUGAAGUAACAAAUGCCCUGCUUCCAGGAAAAGCCUCUAAGCAUCAGGUAACAUCAAAUCGUACCCCAAACCGACACAGGUGGUCAGGUAGAGAAUACCAAGGCGCUUGAGAGAACUCGGGUGAAGGAACUAGGCAAAAUGGUGCCGUAACUUCGGGAGAAGGCACGCUGGUGUGUAGGUGAAGUCCCUGCG